UUGACCUUCACGUCGGAGCAGGACAGCGAUGCCGACAAGCUGGUCGACGGCUCCUGCGUCAGUGCCAGCGGCUACUCCAGGAGCCACUGCUUGCUCAAAUGUACAGCACAUAAGUGUGGGUGUUCGGACCCACUUCGAAGUAUUGGCAGCGAGGAGAACUCACUUCCAACCUGCGACCUAAAGCGCAUUUCAUGCCUGAGAACUCUUGGACUUAGAGGUAAUUCAACCUGCUCCUGUCUGCCAUCAUGUAAGAAGGUAAUAACUCGAUUGGACUUGGAGUCUUCUCCAUUAAGAGAAUUGGAAUCUUGUGUAGAUCC